ACUGGUGCACCCCAUGGGGAAAUGUUGGGUUUGAUAAAUCCCUUAUCUAAGAGAUCCUUCAACUCUUAUUUCAAUUCUAUGAGUUCUAAUAAUGCCAUUUUGUAUGGCAAAAUAGAGAUAGGCUGAGUGUCUGGAAUAAGAUCAAUACCGAAGUCUAUUUCCCUUUCAGGAGGAAUCCCUGGAAGAUCUUUGGGAAAGACGUCUGAAUAUUCA
rnacentral:lncRNA from 1 species